rnacentral:rRNA from 1 species
AUUGAACGCUGGCGGCAGGCCUAACACAUGCAAGUCGAGCGAGCGGCGGACGGGUGAGCAAUGUAUGGGGACUGCCCGAUAGAGGGGGAUAACUACUGGAAACGGUGGCUAAUACCGCAUACUAUCGGAUAACCCAUAUGGGAUUAGCUAGUUGGUGGGGUAACGGUUCACCUAGGCGACGAUCCCUAGCUGGUCUGAGAGGAUGAUCAGCCAGACUGGGACUGAGACAAGGCCCAGACUCCUACGGAGGCAGCAGUGGGGAAGAUUGCACAAUGGGCGCAAGCCUGAUGCAGCCAUGCCGCUGGUAUGAAGAAGGCCUUAGGGUUGUAAAGUACUUUCAGAGGGGAGGCGUUACCGACAGAAGAAGCACCGGCUAACUCCGUGCCAGCAGCCGCGGUAAUUC